AAGACGCCCGAGGACGAGGAGGUGUUAAUUACCACAAACAAUCCCUUAACCAGCUAGUCAAUGUGCGACGAUAUAUUAUAUAAAAUGACUUCCUGGUAGGACAGUAAGUCAAAAGGAUAAAUAAGCGCAUUUCUUUGCCAAAAAUGCCAAAUGAAGAGUUGAUACACUAGAGCUCAAAAUCCAAGAUGGCUGCUGUCCAUCAACAGUAAAGAGCUGUAGUAAAAUGUCUUCAUUAAGCACCUGGUCUCAUUUGUGUCAGUGAUGCAUAACUUCUAUCUGCGGGUACGUUGCUACGAAAACAAACAAUGGCAAACAUGGGAAGUUUCUUAAAUAAAGAGGAUUACUUCUGGAUCCAAAUGGCCCAGAGGACGUUCCAUGAAAGUGGGCAAGACGGCCGAUCAGUCCUGGGAAUGUUGGAGGUGCAGGUCGAGAGAGACCCUAAGACAGGCGCCACCUCCAUCAGGUCGGUGGCGCCUGUGUCCACGGCAACCGGCGAGGCGAUCUUCGACGACGGCAGAAGGAGCAUCCACGCGGUCGGCGGGUCGGGGAGCCAACCCUCGACCAAAGAGCUCGGCCACAUCCUGAGCAUCGUCGACGGGGUCGGGAUGAAAGCGCUGCUGGACGACAUGGCGCUCACGCCAAUCCAGGAGGAGGCGGAGACGCAGAGCGGAGAAGCCAGCACAGCUCCAGGGCGUCCAGUCGUGUCUUUUUCGACCCUUCGUGCACCAAAGGAGGACAACGCGCAGUUUGGAAGCUCUGGAGGCGACGGCUUGGAAGCCGAGCCGGGGGUAGAGCAGCGCUCUGCGAGCAUCCGACCCGAGGAGGAAAGAAAAGGGUACCUGAGGAUCUCGGCGCCCCGAGACACCGCGGGAGAAGUGGGCAACGUGGAGGAGCUGAGGUUGGAGGACGGCCCGGUCACUCUCAUGUUCCUGGGAUACAUGGACGAAGACCAAGGAGACGGCCGGGAGGAGCAUCAAGGCAUGUUGACCGCGGAGCACGUGAUCAUCACCGAGGAGGGAGAAGAGCGCGUCUUCGAAACCGAGACGUCCGCUUCACCUCAGGAAGGGAGAGAGUCCCGCGUGUCUCAGGACGUCCCCCUGGAUGGACACAGGGCCGGGAUUGAGGUCCAGGGAGAGGCAGGAGAUAAUGGGGGGCAGAAGUCGGCCUCCGCCGGUAAAGCCACCACCAAGCCCAAGACCUGCCAGUGUUGCAACGUCAUGUAAGAAGAGAUCAACCUCCAUCGUGUCAUCGGUGCCUGAAAGUCGACGAUGGCGCAUUGGAGUAGAGAGGGUGCGCCGUGAACCGCAAGGUUGGCGGUUCAAGCCCCGGCUGCUUCAUGUCCCCUGUCGAAGUGUCCCUGAGCAACACCUAACCCCUAAUUGCUCCCCGGGCAAAAAUGUAUAAAGCCAUGGGUUCAAAAUGCAGUCGCUUUGGAUAAAAGCGUCAGCUAAAUGACCUGUAAUGUAAAGGACUGGUAUGGAAGACGAGACCACCACAUCAUGUUCUCUCAACGACGUGGCUUUACUUUACCGUCGCAUCCCGUUGUGGGUCUUUCAUAGCAGGGAAAACGACCCGCGAGCCACUUCCUCCCUCUGGUGGACAAAGCCGAGAAUGUCAACAUGUCCUUGCAUAAUUUGCAUCAAAUGUCUCCAGUCCCUCAGGACUUCUUCUGUGGCUUUCCAUAUGUUUAGCUGUUGUUUUUCACUACCAAUGUAAAAAAGCCAAAGAGCAGAACAAUCACAUAAUACUACCAUCCUUUGACCUUUUUUAAUGGAAUUGGAGGAGUUCGUAUUCUACGACUAAACCUUUUUUUGAAUGUUGAGUUUCAUCUACUAGACUGGUCCUUUGGACGAGAUCCACUCAGCCAAACCACUUCACACUUGGCUUCCUCGGCUCCUGAGCAAACCCGACAGGUAUGAAGUCGAACUAAUCAAGGUUUUUGCAGACAAAUUCCAGGGCAGGCAAACAGAGAGACGGCCCUUUCAUUUCUGUUAAAUUCGAUUUAAGCAAAGCUCCCAUUGUAACGCUCUAGAUUGGGUUCAUUCAUGCGUCGGAAAAAGGGGGGGUUGGAAUAACUAAGUUCUCGGCAUUGUGGAGAAAAGCUUUCAAACUGCACUCAGGCAAUAGUUUAGGAGGAUACGAUCUGCAGCGAAAAUAUUUCUAAGCAUUUAAAUUACCAUUGAAAGUUUGGGAAAAGGAAUUUUUUCAAAAAAAUGGAAGACUUCCGAAUUUGUCAUAUGUCUGAAUAUUCAUGUCUGCUACACAGCAAAUAUCUGCUAAUAAGUAUGUUGUUAUUUAUAUCACUGUCGUUUUGUAUUCAAUUGAUUUAUUGAAGUGGAUGUCUACUGGAAU
ensembl:lncRNA